UAUAUUCCAAUCAAAUUUUUAAAAAAUUAAAAAAAGAAGUUAUUCUGUGGAAAAGGAGGUUCCAAUAGAGAGAGUUGGCCUCUCAGAUCCCUCAAGAGUAUAAACCAAUCAGUUCAUACUCUUGACAGGCUUUGAUAUUUAGGAUUCCACUGGGUCUUAGAGAGGAGGAAGAUCCAUUAAGUAAAUCACCCUCUUUCCCCCUCUUUUCCUUUCAAAAGCGCACAUUGGAAGAAGCCAGCGGAGGAAUGUCAAAGAGAAUGCUUUCCCAGUAACUCAAAGGCAUCAGAUCAAGGAACACAGAAGGCAUGUAAGUGGUUCCUAUGGAGACACAAUGCUCCAUCUACCUUGUUGUCUCCAAGAUCAGUUGCUCAUGGUCUAUUGCAACUUGGCAGAUUUUGGCACCCAACUAUUCCCAAAGGAUAAAAUAAACACCAAGGGUGGCACUUAAGAAGAAAAGAAUUAUGAAAUUGAGAGCAAAUGUCCUACACACAAGGGACUUUAACCUCAGAGAGGUAACUGUCAAUGGAUUGCUUUAGAACUCACCGCUUAGUAUGAUCUAGCCUCUUAGCCCCAUCUCUCUACAUCAUUGCCAACUCACUUGCCCAGACCUGUAUCUGUGUGUGUGCGUGUGUGCGUGUGUGUGCGCGCACGCGCGUGUGUGUGUGGUUGUGUGUUAAAGAGAAUGAAACCGAGCUAAAGACAGAAAGAGAGGAAGAAAGACAAAAAAUGGGAAGAGGUAUUUAUUCAGCGUUUUCCCCACAGAGUACCAAUUAUACCCCUGGCUGAUACAGUCUAAAAAGCACAAAUGGCUCAAUAUAUGCAUUUUUGGCUGCACCUAUGACAUAUGGAAGUUCCCAAGCCAGGGGUCAAAUCUGAGCUACAGUUGUGACCUAUACCACAGCUACAACAACACCAGAUCCUUAACUUGCUGG
rnacentral:lncRNA from 9 species